AGAAAGAGCUGGAGAUUCUGCAGGGAAAGAAAUCGUUAAUCCAUCCUGCUUGCCAGCCUGCCUGGUUCUGAAAGGGGCACUGUGACUUUAGCUUUGUUUUCCCAAACGACAUUUGGGACCAUGUACAAAUUCUACAAAAUUAAGCUUAUUUUGAAUAUGUCAUCAGCAUCCUAAUUCCAUAUAUGUUCUUAUAAAGGAAUCUCACUGGAGGGGUUUCCAUUAACUGCAUUUGCAAUGCUUCUUCCUGAAUACUUCAAACCACACUCUGUCUAUGCCUGUCCAUCACUGAGGUGAAGCAGCAAGAAGGUUAUCAUAUGGAAAAUGUCUCACAGGUUGCAUAUUUAAACACUGUUUGGAUCUAUUUGAAGGAAUAUUGUGGAAAACAUGGAACUGAGUGGAGAGAGACUGCAAAAAUGAGACUGGUUUCACCCCAGUGAGCAAAUGGCUUAAGACAUCUGUGGAUUGACUCAGUUAGCAAAACCAGGCAAACACAGCCCGUGAUGCUUCUGCUGACAGAGAACAAUUUCAGCCCCAUCUGUUCGAGCAGCGAGAGACCUUUCUGAUCACUCUGGAAGUCAGCAAGAGGAAAAAAAGUUCAGAAGGAGGCUUGGAAAAAGCCACAGAGAGUCCUAAUUAGGUAACUGUCCAGCUCCAGUCCUGCUAUGGCCAACGCCACGGGUGACUUCUCCAGGUGUCCCCUCCAGCCCCUUAGAGCUCUCUUCUAAAGAACCAACAUGUUAUGGACAAGAUAUGACACAAGUAGCUGCUGUUCCCACCACACGAGCCCUUGGCCAGCCUGGACCUGCUCCAGAAGCAUGGAAACCAGUUCAGCCAGACAUUGCUGCAAGGCAGUCCAGAAAUAUCCCAUGGACAGAAGGGAAAAGGGCAAGGUUACUAUUUGGAGGAUUUGGACUCCUUCCCAUCUUCUGCCAAGCAGCCUUGAGCAACCCCUCGCAGCACCUACCUUUUGAUACCCCGUGUUUUCAGACCGUGCCUCAGCGCUCAAGGGACCAGGCAAGGAAAGGAACACAGAAAGGGAGGAUGUUUUGUGGUCCCUCGCUCCCCCAUAAGAAACAUCCAGCAGUCCAGUAGAAAUACAAAGUAAUGACAACAGAAGAACUGGAAAUCGCUUCAAAGUCAAACUCAUAUCUUGAGAAACAUGAGGAAAAAUGUUACAAAGGAAAUAUCAAAGGCUCAAGAAGGAUUUUCCGAGGCACUUUGUUACUGAAGUUGUUACCACCCUCCCGCAGAGGCAAUCAAGACUAAUGGGGACAUUAGCACAGCCCAGGACUACACAUCAAAAGAGUCCCUGGAGCAAAUAACACCCAGCAACUGGAGCGUCGCUGGCACCGCGCUCCAAACCACCCCCCUCUGCCUCAGAAAUGAGUAAAAGGGUCGUAAACAGCAGAGAGAAAAUUUUUGCCUGGUGACUGCAAAUAAGCACCCAGCAGAGCUGUUAAAAGUUGCUUGCUGAAGAGAAAAAUAUGAUUCUUCCA